AUACGGAGGGUGCGAGCGUUGUUCGGAAUUAUUGGGCGUAAAGCGCGUGUAGGCGGUCUUUUAAGUCUGAUGUGAAAGCCCCGGGCUCAACCCGGGAAGUGCAUUGGAUACUGGGAGACUUGAAUACGGGAGAGGGUAGUGGAAUUCCUAGUGUAGGAGUGAAAUCCGUAGAUAUUAGGAGGAACACCGGUGGCGAAGGCGGCUGCCUGGACCGAUAUUGACGCUGAGACGCGAAAGCGUGGGUAGC
rnacentral:rRNA from 1 species